rnacentral:rRNA from 1 species
GACGAACGCUGGCGGCGUGCCUAAUACAUGCAAGUCGAACGCUUUUUCUUUCACCGGAGCUUGCUCCACCGAAAGAAAAAGAGUGGCGAACGGGUGAGUAACACGUGGGUAACCUGCCCAUCAGAAGGGGAUAACACUUGGAAACAGGUGCUAAUACCGUAUAACACUAUUUUCCGCAUGGAAGAAAGUUGAAAGGCGCUUUUGCGUCACUGAUGGAUGGACCCGCGGUGCAUUAGCUAGUUGGUGAGGUAACGGCUCACCAAGGCAACGAUGCAUAGUCGACCUGGGAGGGUGAUCGGCCACACUGGGACUGAGACCCGGCCCAGACUCCUACGGGAGGCAGCAGUAGGGAAUCUUCGGCAAUGGACGAAAGUCUGACCGAGCAACGCCGCGUGAGUGAAGAAGGUUUUCGGAUCGUAAAACUCUGUUGUUAGAGAAGAACAAGGAUGAGAGUAAAAUGUUCAUCCCUUGACGGUAUCUAACCAGAAAGCCACGGCUAACUACGUGCCAGCAGCCGCGGUAA